GAUGAACGCUGACAGAAUGCUUAACACAUGCAAGUCAACCGGAACCUCGGUUUGGGUGGCGGCCGGGUGAGUAACGCGUACAGAACUUGCCUCACAGCUAGGGACAACAUUUGGAAACGAAUGCUAAUACCGGAUAUUAUGAUUAUAUGGCAUCGUAUAAUUAUGAAAGCUAUGUGCGCUGUGAGAGAGCUUUGCGUCCCAUUAGCUAGGUGGAGAGGUAACAGCUCACCAAGGCGAUGAUGGGUAGCCGGCCUGGGAGGGUGAUCGGCCACAGGGGGACAGGGGAACGGCCAUUGCUCCUUCGGGGGGCAGGAGUGGAGAAUAUUGGACAACAGACCGCGAGUCUGAUCCAGCAAUUCGGUGUGCACGAUGAAGUUUUUCGGAAUGUAAAGUGCUUUCAGUUGAGAAGGAAAAAAUGACGGUACCAACAGAAGAAGCGACGGCUAAAUACGUG
rnacentral:rRNA from 1 species